GCCCUACGGGGCGCAGCAGGCGCGAAAACUUUACAAUGCGGGAAACCGUGAUAAGGGAACUCUGAGUGCCCGUAAAAUCGGGCUGUCCACCAGUGUAAAUAACUGGUGAAGAAAGGGCCGGGCAAGACCGGUGCCAGCCGCCGCGGUAAUACCGGCGGCUCGAGUGGUGGCCACUAUUACUGGGCUUAAAGCGUUCGUAGCUGGUCUGUUAAGUCUCUGGGGAAAUCUUCCGGCUUAACCGGAAGGCGUCUCAGGGAUACUGGCAGACUAGGGACCGGAAGAGGUGAGAGGUACUCCAGGGGUAGGAGUGAAAUCCUGUAAUCCUUGGGGGACCACCUGUGGCGAAGGCGUCUCACCAGAACGGCUCCGACAGUGAGGGACGAAAGCUGGGGGAGCAAACCGGAUUAGAUACCCGGGUAGUCCCAGCCGUAAACGAUGUGCGUUAGGUGUAUCGGUGACCACGAGUUACCGAGGUGCCGAAGAGAAAUCGUGAAACGCACCGCCUGGGAAGUACGGUCGCAAGGCUGAAACU
rnacentral:rRNA from 1 species